UUUGUUUUUGUUUUUAUGACAUCGAUAAUCUUUCUCCUUUCAUUGAUUAGAAAUUCGAAAAUAUCAGAGUUAAUUAGUCAUAGCUCAGCUUCACAAAUAUUCCCAAAUAUUAAUUAAAAAGUUCCACAAGUGCCUUGUCUUAAUUGGCGUCUGGUAACCCGGAUGUAACUCUUUCCCGCCGGAAGUUAAUUAUAUCAUGUUUUGAUUUUCAGUUUCCCCCAUGUGAGUGUUGGAGCUUGUAAUUUCAAAAUGUUUUAAUACACCGGAUAGUUUUUGCUGUUGAAUACAGCGGAUCAUAUGCUGACACACUGUUCCUAUUUAUUACACAAUGACUAUAAUUUUGUUGGAGGCCUUUUACGGCGGUUCUCAUAAACAAUUGAUUGAUUAUUUAGCCACAAACAUACCUAAAUGUUGCGUUUUCAAGUUACCGGCAAAAAAAUGGCAUUGGAAAGCCAGAACAUCUGCUUUACAUUUUAGUGAAGUUAUACCAGAGAAUGAAAACAUCUACAGUUCCUUAUUUACAAGUUCCGUAUUGAACCUUGCUGAAUUGGUAGCACUGCGUCCUGAUUUGGCUCGACUUCAUAAAGUUAUCUAUUUUCAUGAAAAUCAACUAAUUUAUCCUGUCAGGAAAGAACAGACCAGGGAUUUUCAAUAUGGAUACAAUCAGAUUUUAUCAUGUGUUGUGGCUGAUGUUGUAGUGUUCAACUCUGAAUUCAAUAAGAACACAUUUCUACAGAACAUCAACAGAUUUCUCAACAUCAUUCCUGAUUAUCAUCCAAAGAAUCUCAUGAAAAAAAUCGCGCCAAAGUGCCGAGUCUUAUAUUUCCCAUUAUCCUUUCCUGACUGUCCAACAGAAAGCUUGCUAGAAAACAAAUACUCACAUUUAACCCACGGCUGCAUGAUGGAUAAAUGCUUAGAGAAAGUUUUGAAGGAAACUGAAGAAUGUGGUUCAUCCUCAAAACUUACAGAACAAAUAUCUGAGACAAGCAAUGAAGUCUUGACCAAUGGAAGACAAGAUAAAGUUUUGGCUAAUGGAACUCAUUCUGCAGUUGAUUUCCAAAAUACUGUAGAUUGCAUCAGUGAUAAAACUUUGGAACCAGAGAUAUUGCCAUCUGUUCAAGAGAAUGGAAGAAAACUUCAUAUUGUUUGGCCUCAUCGUUGGGAACAUGAUAAAGACCCCGAAAGAUUCUUUAAUAUUUUAAAUUGGCUCCAUGAAGAAAAUUUUGAUUUCUGGGUUUCUGUUAUUGGCCAAAGCUUUUCUGAAGUUCCAGAUGUUUUUAUACAAUCAAAGGAAAAACUAAAAGUUCAUCUCAAAACUUGGGGAUAUGUUGACGACAAGAAAGAUUAUUAUGAAAUUCUAAAAACAGCAGAUGUCGUUGUUUCCACUGCAAAACAUGAAUUCUUUGGAGUAUCAAUGCUUGAAGCUGUUUAUUAUGGUUGUUACCCUCUCUGUCCAAAUAAAUUAGUCUAUCCAGAAAUAUUUCCACAAUGCUACCUUUAUAACACAGAACAUCAGUUGUUUAAAAAGUUGAAGAGAUUUUGUAAAUUCCCUCAUUUGACUAAAAAAUUACCAGAAAAGAUUGAUUUGCAACGCUUUAUGUGGAAACAACUCAAAGAAUCAUAUGAGGAGGUUCUAAAAGGAACUGUGUCUCCAGAUCAGACAAAGACAAACUGAGAAUGUUAAGGGCAAAGAUUUUUCAGUCGAGGACAUACUUGAUACUGACCUUACGACACUACAUGAUGAAAUUUUCAUUGCUGUCCCUGUGACCCUAAAACUGAAGGACACCAACUUCAUGCACAGCAGAUUUCAAUCUUCUAGAUUUGAAAGAUUCACAUUAACGAUUGCUCCUCCUUUUUUUUAAACUUAUUUUUCCAAUUCAGAGUCUGUAACUUGUAUGGAAGAGUAUUUUUCCAAGAAAGUCAUUUAUAACAGUAUUGUAAAAAAAUUUAUUUAUGUUAUGACUUUUGUAAAAAAAAAUUUUAUUUAAAAAAGUUUUGUUUUCUUUUUUAUGGAAAUGGUUUGUAUUGUGUGCUGGAGAAUACGGACAACUGAAAACUCAUUCAUACAUACAUAUAUGUGUAUACACAUGCACAUUGAUACACACACAAGUGCACAAACAAACAAACAAACAAAAAGAAUGCAGAUCUGAUAACGGACAGUCAAAAACUAUGGAAGAGGUUGCAAGAAAGAAAAAAUUAAAUAAAUAAGUAAAUGAGUGGAAAUUGAACCAGUGUGUUAAUUAAUAAGACAAUUAAAACAAUGACAAUAAAAUAUGCUUCAACAUGCAAAUUCACAUAAAGAAUCUGGCAAACCAAAUACAAA
rnacentral:misc_RNA from 1 species